rnacentral:sRNA from 1 species
ACACGGGAGAGGAGGUGGUCCGAAGUUGCAUAGCUCUAGGACUCGUGAGGUGGUUGUCCGCUAGGACGCCACAUGCCGGACCUCCGCUGUGGUGGCCUGGCGCGAGAAGGACAACCACCCGAUCCCCGGGCUGCCGACCUUUGUCCCGUCGGCCCGCGUCAAGCGGAGCGGCCCGGGGAUUGUCCUGC